AACAACUUAAACCGCAACUCGAUC
rnacentral:siRNA from 1 species